UAUAUGGAAUUUACACUUAUUUGGAAUAUUUUCAAGCUGUGGAUGCUUGAAUCCGUGGAUAAAAAAUCCAUGGAUAAAGAGGGACGACUGUAUCGCUGUGAUUCCACUUUAACUGCAGUGGCUGCAUCUUGCAAAAUCCUUGGACUUAUGUUUGAGUGAGGUACUAGAGCUCCCUAACAGAAUUGUAAAUAUGGAACUACAAAUCUCAGGAUUUGACAGUGACUAAAAGUGCUGAUAUCAAACUGCUGCAGUUGUUCGAUGUGAAAAAGAUCCUAGUGUCUAAAUCUUCCUUCUAGAAGUUAGGUCCUAUGAAUAAAACAGGACAUGCCUAGUGAACCCCAGUCCUUAGCACUUGUGUCAAUCCCUUUUCAUAUUGUAGACAUAUUUUUUGUGGAGUGGGGACAUGCAAAAACAACCCUUGGGAUGCCUAUGGUCCAUGGGAUGCAUUUUCCCUCCUUCCUGUUUCAGGUUAAUGACAAAAAGAUUGGUUUCAAAUUUUAGACAGUACAUCUGUCUCCGGACACGAACUGUGUUAUCUGAUCAUGUUUUCUUUUUGGAACCCAUUAACUUAUUAAUACUGUGUUUUCCUUUCCUUUUUGCUUUGUUUUUGCUUUUCUAUUGAGUUUUGUAGCGCAAGGAUAUUGAAAUACAGCAGCCGUUCUUUCCGAGUCGGAGGUGUAAUUGUGCUUAAAGCAGAACAGGCCAGCGGUUGUGGGUCGACAUCUUGUCUGUUGCGGUGCCAAGAACGGCACAUUUCUCGUAACCAGGGCGCCACAUUCAAUGGGGCGUAUUUGUAAUUCUUUGUUGACUCUUGGGCAUUGUUUAUGGAGCCUUCUGGGUCACUUUGUCCCAAAUGCCUCCCUCCAUCUUCAAUGUUGCAGAGCCGCCUUUGUUCUUCCCGUUCUGUUUUUUCCAGAAUAUUUGAAAGGAAAUUAGUUGCCACUGUAUUUACAAUUCCCAAAUGGCAUGGAAAGUCAAAGACACUGACGUCUUGUAGCAUAUUGUCUGGCAGAAGAUGGAUGGGGACCUUUAUUUACAGAGUUUCUUGCACACACAUAGUAUAUUUACUCCAAGUACAUGUGGGAUUAAUAAUGCUGUUAGCUAACUGGAGUAAUUGGCCACAAAUAUUUCAUAACUGUUUACUUAGAAGGGGAAAAGAGUUGUAUUACAGAAAAGCAUCCUCCCCAAUAGUUGAAUCUAGAGCAUAUGACUGGGACCUAUAACCAAAUACCUGUGUGGCACUCAAUGGUGGCACUAUGUUUCCACAUUAACUGUGUCUUGUGGAAACCUGGGAUGUGUAGUUUUGGUGAGACAACUAGGGCUCUGGCUGAGAACUAAACAUCCCUCCUUAAAUUGCAGAUCCCAAGUUUGCAUGGGAUGGAACCAUGGCAAUUUAAGUGGAAGCAUUGCACUAUGAUUUUGUAAUUCAGUCAACCCUCCAUAUCCAUGGAUUCAACUAUCCAUGGCUUGGAAAUGCUCUCUCUCUUUCUCUCUCUCUCUCUCUCUCUCUUUCUCUCUCUCUCUUCCAAAAAGUGAACCUUGAUUUUAUGAUCCUUUAUUAAGGACACCAUUUUACCAGGCCAUUGGAUUUAAUGGGACAUGGGCAUCCAUAGAUUUUGACACCCACAGAACCAAACCCUAACGGAUACCACCAAGGGCCCACUGUAGUGUCAAAGGGCCCCAGACUUUUGACCCAAAGACUUAAAUGCAACCUGACAUUACAUGCUACAGCAGUACUUUGCUCUGAAUUGUUCCAGAAACGAAUCUCUCUCUUUGUUAAGCUGCUAGCUGGCUUGCUAGUUGAGUGGGAGCUUGUGACGUGCCAUGGCUGUAUCUUAUGAAAACCUGGGAUGUUUAGGUUGGUGUGGCAUUAGGGGUCUCUGGCUGAAAAUUUCAAAUGCCCCCUCUGCAAAUGCUGCAAAUCCCAGGUUUUCAGAGGAUGCUGCCAUGCCAAUUAAAGGGACCCUGAUAGCUAUGCCAUCCGCUGAUAACCUUACCAAGGAUAUUGCAUUCCAUUUUGUGGGUACUGGGCAUAUUAAGUUUUCAGUGGGCCUUUUUAAAAGAUGGGGGGGUUGCUUCUUAUUUUGUCCCCUUUAGGUUUUUGGUUUUGGGGGGCCGUGGGUUUAUUUUUCUCUGUUAUGUUUUUGCCAGAUGGAUGGAUGGAUAGAAGUGUUGGUGGAUAGAUGAGUGGAUGAGUGGAUGGAUGGAUAAUCUUUGGUUAUAUUAGGGUUACCUGAGCAUCCAUCCUCCUGUAUCACACUGGUCCUGUUCUGGCCACAGGUCCUUUUAGGACUCACCAGCCAAGUUUGCCAUGACAUAAAGGGCAUUUGGCGUAAAAACUCAGGAGGUGGCCGAUUUGGGUAGAUGUUUAAGAUCUGCUGAGCGAAAAUCAGACUCCUGAGAAAUCUCUAUUUUCUUUUUAACAUAGAUAUUUAAAAUAUAUAUAUAAUUUUUUUAAUGUAAGGAAAAAUGUAAACCUAAUUUAAAAAGCUUUUGUUGUUGUCACUUGAAAAGAAAUAUUUUUUACUAAUUUAACGAUUUAUGCUAGAUUUUUAAAUGGGAAAAUGUCUUAAGUGUCUCAGUACGUUCUUCUGCGCAUUUGUCCAUAGAGCUUUGCUCUAAGAUGUUCUGUUGCUUUUAUUAUUAUUCUUAUUAUUAUUUUAUGAGUUCUGCUCCAUUUUUCCCUUGUACCCAGAUGUGUAAUAUACUGCAUUUUCUUCCCUCUCUUUCUCUCUUUGUGUGUUUUCCUUUGGGACUCUUCGGCAACCAUUUGCUGUUACAUUUUGGAUGUCUCUUUUUACAUUGGAACAAAGUAUUCUAAAUGACAAAGUGUGGUCUUUUGGCUUGAAGAUCUUUAUUAAAAAAAGAAACACACAAUAGUAA